rnacentral:misc_RNA from 1 species
GUAGGUGAACCUGCGGAAGGAUCAUUAACACGUAUCCAACGUUAAAAACCCCCCCCUUGAACCUACAACAUACGUCUCCGCUAACGAUACCCAUGGUUGCAAUCCCUGGUAAAUCAUUGCCGAACAGUUUUGAUUCAGGGACAUCAAGCACGUUAGUGUCCUGAUAAAACGGGUUCCAACCCCAAGGAGUCAAAAGCUGUCAGCGAGUGGCAAGUGAGGGAGUCAGUCAGGGGAACCUGAUUGUCAUCUACACUGUGGCCGACCGUGAUGGGAUUCUGGCGUCGUGCCUUUAGGUACGAACUAGCGCCCGACAUGACCUCUUGAAACGACAGGGGCGUAACCGGACCAAAUUUUUAAUCUGCCCCUUACCCUAACAGGUACUCGGGUGUCAAACGAACAACUGUUAACAAUGGAUAUCUUGGUUCUC